rnacentral:rRNA from 1 species
UACGUAGGGACCGAGCGUUGUCCGGAAUCAUUGGGCGUAAAGAGCGUGUAGGCGGCUAUUUAAGUCCUGCGUGAAAUCCUGCGGCUCAACCGCAGACGGUCGUGGGAAACUGGAUGGCUAGAAUGCGGGAGAGGAGAGUGGAAUUCCCGGUGUAGCGGUGAAAUGCGCAGAUAUCGGGAAGAACACCCGUGGCGAAGGCGGCUCUCUGGAACGCAACUGACGCUGAGACGCGAAAGCGUGGGGAGCAAACAGG